rnacentral:rRNA from 1 species
GCCUAACACAUGCAAGUCGAACGGAACUGUUUUGAAAGAUUUCUUCGGAAUGAAUUUGAUUUAGUUUAGUGGCGGACGGGUGAGUAACGCGUGAGUAACCUGCCUUCAAGAGGGGGAUAACAUUCUGAAAAGAAUGCUAAUACCGCAUGAUAUAUCGGAACCACAUGGUUCUGAUAUCAAAGAUUUUAUCGCUUGAAGAUGGACUCGCGUCCGAUUAGUUAGUUGGUGAGGUAACGGCUCACCAAGACCGCGAUCGGUAGCCGGACUGAGAGGUUGAACGGCCACAUUGGGACUGAGACACGGCCCAGACUCCUACGGGAGGCAGCAGUGGGGGAUAUUGCGCAAUGGGGGCAACCCUGACGCAGCAACGCCGCGUGAAGGACGAAGGUUUUCGGAUUGUAAACUUCUUUUAUUAAGGACGAAAAUUGACGGUACUUAAUGAAUAAGCUCCGGCUAACUACGUGCCAGCCGCCGCAGUAA